rnacentral:rRNA from 1 species
AUUGAACGCUGGCGGCAGGCUUAACACAUGCAAGUCGAGCGAGCGGCGGACGGGUGAGUAAUGUCUGUGAAACUGCCUGAUGGAGGGGGAUAACUACUGGAAACGGUAGCUAAUACCGCAUACCAUCAGAUGUGCCCAGGUGGGAUUAGCUAGUAGGUGGGGUAAUGGCUCACCUGGGCGACGAUCCCUAGCUGGUCUGGGAGGUUGCCGAGGGAACCGGGAACUGGGACACGGUCAAGACUCCAACGGGAGGCGGCAGGGGGAAAUAUGGAACAAUGGGCGCAAGCCUGAUGCAGCAAUGCCGCGUGUGGGAGGAAGGCCUACGGGUUGUAAAGCACUUUCAGCGAGGAGGCGUUACUCGCAGAAGAAGCACCGGCUAACUCCGUGCCAGCAGCCGCGGUAAUAC